UUUUACACUCAUCCCUAACAAAUAGAGUUUAGUUACUCAUGACAGAGAUAAAAAAGAUAGAGAUUAGAGAAGAAUUACAAGAAAGAUUCAUGAAUGAUUCUUGAUAAAACUGCUUCAAUGAUGUUAGAAACGGUCGUCUUUGAGUUUCUAUGCUAGGGCACAAGUCUCCCAACUUCCCAAGAGUCAAAAAAAUCCCUAAAACAGUGAAAAAUUGCGUUUUUAUGGUUGUUGAUGCGCGUCACGCGCCCUAGGCACGGGAAACGCGCUCCAGGCGCGGGAAACGCGCUCCAGGCGCUGGAAAUGCGCUCCAGGCGCGCCUAGACAGUGUUGACUGGUUGGAAACGCGCCUCAGGCGUGUCCAGCGCACUCCAAGCGCUCAACAUCUGUUGUCCGACGUAUAUUGCAUUUGCUCCUCUUUCGAGUCUGAAUUUGGUUCCGGUGUCUUCAUGAAGGUAGUAGCUAUGGAUCGUAGCUUUCAUUUGCACUUAGUUUGACUCCAAAUGGACAUCUACAACUCCAUAUAUGGCUGACAUACUCUACAUAGGUCAUGUUGAUUUCUCACCAAAAUUCAGCACUGCAUUAAAACAAAAUAACAACACAAUACUCCGAAAAAUCCCUAAUUAAUCAAGGAAAUAAUAACAUAAAUAUUUCAUUAAAUCAAAGAGCUAAAAUCAAC
rnacentral:lncRNA from 1 species